rnacentral:tRNA from 1 species
UCCCCGCGUGGGUCGGUCCCUGGUCCCCGGUGGGUUCGGUCCCCGCGUGGGUCGGUCCCUGGUCCCCGGUGGGUUCGGUCCCCGCGUGGGUCG